rnacentral:misc_RNA from 1 species
GAUGAAGAACGUAGCGAAAUGCGAUAAGUAAUGUGAAUUGCAGAAUUUAGUGAAUCAUCGAAUCUUUGAACGCACAUUGCGCCCCUUGGUAUUCCGAGGGGCAUGCCUGUUCGAGCGUCAUAUUAACCACUCCCGCUUGCGGGGUCUUGGGCUUCGCCUCCGGGCGGGCCUUAAAAUCAGUGGCGGUGCCGUCGGGCUCUACGCGUAGUAAAUUUUCUCGCGAUAGGGUCCCGGUGGAUGCUUGCCAACAACCCCCAACUUCUUAAGGUUGACCUCGGAUCAGGUAGGGAUACCCGCUGAACUUAAGCAUAUCAAUAAGCGGAGGA